rnacentral:rRNA from 1 species
AUUGAACGCUGGCGGCAGGCCUAACACAUGCAAGUCGAGCGGAUGAAGGGAGCUUGCUCCUGGAUUCAGCGGCGGACGGGUGAGUAAUGCCUAGGAAUCUGCCUGGUAGUGGGGGAUAACGUCCGGACACGGGCGCUAAUACCGCAUACGUCCUGAGGGAGAAAGUGGGGGAUCUUCGGACCUCACGCUAUCAGAUGAGCCUAGGUCGGAUUAGCUAGUUGGUUGGGUAAAGGCCUACCAAGGCGACGAUCCGUAACUGGUCUGAGAGGAUGAUCAGUCACACUGGAACUGAGACACGGUCCAGACUCCUACGGGAGGCAGCAGUGGGGAAUAUUGGACAAUGGGCGAAAGCAUGAUCCAGCAAUGCCGCGUGUGUGAAGAAGGUCUUCGGAUUGUAAAGCACUUUAAGUUGGGAGGAAGGGCAGUAAGUUAAUACCUUGCUGUAUUGACGUUAACAACAGAAUAAGCACCGGCUAACUACGUG